GAUGAACGCUGGCGGUGUGCCUAAUACAUGCAAGUCGAGCGAACGGACGAUAAGCUCUCUCUUCUGCUGUUAGCGGCGGACGGGUGAGUAACACGUGGAUAACCUUCUUCUAAGACUGGGAUAAUUUCGUGAAGCCGCAUCCAAUACUGGCGAAUAUUUUGUACCGCAUGGUUCAAAAGUGAAUGACGGCUUUCCUGUCACUUUUAGAUGGUUCCGCGCUGCAUUAGCUAGUUGGUAAGGUAACGGCUCACCAAGGCAACGAUGCAUAGCCGACCUGAGAGGGUGAUCAGCCACACUGGAACUGAGACACGGUCCAGACUCCUACGGGAGGCAGCAGUGGGGAAUAUUCCGCAAUGGGCGAAAGCCUGACCGAGCAACACCGCGUGAGUGAAGAAGGCCUUCGGGUCGUAAAGCUCUGUUGUUAGGAAAGAAAAGAUGUAUGUGAAUAUGUGGAUGUUUUGACGGUACCUAAACAAAAAGCAACGGCUAACUACGUG
rnacentral:rRNA from 1 species